UCAGAUCAAAAAUUUUUAAAG
rnacentral:piRNA from 1 species